AACGAACGCUGGCGGCAGGCUUAACACAUGCAAGUCGAGCGAGACCUUCGGGUCUAUCGGCGGACGGGUGAGUAACGCGUGGGAACGUUCCCUUCUCUACGUAAUAGCCCCGGUAAACUGGGAGUAAUACCGUAUACGCCCUUUGGGGGUAAGGUUUAUCGGAGAAGGAUCGGCCCGCGUUUGAUUAGGUAGUUGGUGGUGUAAUGGCCCACCAAGCCGACGAUCCAUAGCUGGUUUGAGAGGAUGAUCAGACACACUGGGACUGAGACACGGCCCAGAAUACUACGGGAGGAAGCAGUGGGGAAUCUUAGAAAAUGGGGGCAACCCUGAUAUAGCCAUGACGCGUGAGUGAUGAAGGACUUAGGGUUGUAAAGCUAUUUCAGCUGGGAAGAUAAUGACGGUACCAGAAGAAGAAGCCCCGGCUAACUCCGUG
rnacentral:rRNA from 1 species